CAAAGCCCUCAGCCCCAGAGCUGGCUUUGGCCCAGGAAGAACACACUGAAUGGGAGCCCAGAGACCCCUGGACUUGGGCCGCGGGGCUGCAGUUGAUAAAGUAAGGCCUUUCCUGCUCAGAAGUCCCCGGGUUCUAAGCUGCUCCUGCCACGUCCCAGCUCCUGCUGAAGGAAGAUGCUGCGCGCCCCCUGCUGGCCAGUCCGGGGAACUGACCCGAGAGGGGACCUGGGGAGCCCAGUGAGAAGGGCCCUUUGCUGGUCCCAGUUGGGAGCAGGGACCCCCCCCCACGCUCGCCGCAGCGCUGCCCAGCCAGCUCCCCUCCCAAGUGCCCAACAAAUCCCGAACUCAGUGGAAUCUGGCUUCCCCGCAGCCUUGCUGUUCCCACGCUGCAUGGGGGACCUGCCUCCGUCUGCGCUGCGCCCUCCCAGCCGCCCCAGGGCUUGACCGGCUCCGGCUCCAGGCCCCCCUUCCACCCUCGCUCGCACCUCCUCUGUCCCUCUCCCUCUCCCACCCGCGGGCAUAGGAAGGACUCUAAGGACAGGUCGUGGGGACAUGUCCCGGCCGCUGUCCCAGGGCAGCACCCAGGGGUCCAUCUGGCUUAUUGCUGUGCCACCUCCCUGUUUGAUGACACUGACGGUUUUCAGGCAGACCCUCUGAGCCGUGCUGGACAGAGUUCCACAGGCUCCCUCUUAGCUCCUGUCCCCGUGCUGGGGGAGGGGGGAGCUGAGACCUCAGGGGUGUGGAGCCCCAGAUGUAGCAAGGGACCUGCCCAAGGUCAGUCCUCAUGUCCAAAGCUUCAUCGGACUUUCUUCUCAAGGUUAACAGGAGUGUAUCGUUUUUCUCUCACCAGCCUCAGGUGACUCGUGGGACUGGACUGGGGGUCCAGGGAGAACAGGCAUUCCGUUCCUUUGACCCUGGGGGUGGGGGCACCGCCCCAGCCCUGCCCUGUUGCUGGCCCUGCCCUAGCCUGAGCUCACCCAGACCCUGCAUGGCACCAUGCUGUCCCCUGCUGGCCACACUAGCAAAACGCAGCCCCGGGUCAGCUGAACUGCAGACCCCAGGGCUCCAGGGAACAGCCCCAGUGCCCCCUGCCCACGGGGGCCCUCGGCCUGCGUGGGGAGACCUGCCUGGCACACAGCCGUGUGUGCCGCUGAGUGGGCGCCGCCCCACUGCUGACUGCACCUGAAGCAUUUAGCUGAGGACGGGCUGCAGGUUCUGAUCGAGGGCUGCCGAGACAACAGCUAGACCCUCGUCCGGCAGAAGCUGGGACUCCUCGUGGGGUGACAAGCUCUAAGUAUGAACGCCAACGAGGAAGAGUCAGACGGUGCUAGACUGUGACACAGGGGCCCUGGGCAGCCUGGCCCUUGUUGCCAAGUGGCUCCUCGGGGGGAUGGAGGUGGCCUCCAGGGAAGGCAUGGAAAAGCCAAGGAGGGACAAAUGGCAGGGCUGACAAUCACAGGGCACCCCGGGGAGACCCCGGGCUGGCCGUGUGGCAUGGAAGGUGGAGAGGAAACAGGUCCUGUGUCCAGACACAGGGUCUGCCCUUGAAAC
ensembl:lncRNA